rnacentral:rRNA from 1 species
AGAGUUUGAUUAUGGCUCAGGAUGAACGCUAGCUACAGGCUUAACACAUGCAAGUCGAGGGGCAGCAUGGGAUUAGCUUGCUAAUCCUGAUGGCGACCGGCGCACGGGUGAGUAACGCGUAUCCAACUUCCCCCUGCUCAGGGAUAGCCCGGUGAAAACCGGAUUAAGACCUGAUAGUUUCACUAGAUGGCAUCCGACGGUGAAUAAAGGUUUCGGCAAGGGGUGGGGAUGCGUCUGAUUAGCUUGUUGGCGGGGUAACGGCCCACCAAGGCGACGAUCAGUAGGGUUCUGAGAGGAAGGUCCCCCACAUUGGAACUGAGACACGGUCCAAACUCCUACGGGAGGCAGCAGUGAGGAAUAUUGGUCAAUGGGCGGAAGCCUGAACCAGCCAAGUAGCGUGCCAGGAAGACGGCCCUAUGGGUUGUAAACUGCUUUUGUGCGGGAAUAAAGUCAGGGACGCAUCCCUGUUUGCAUGUACCGCAAGAAUAAGGACCGGCUAAUUCCGUGCCAGCCGCAGC